rnacentral:hammerhead_ribozyme from 1 species
AUUCUGACGAGUCCCAAAUAGGACGAAACGUUCGUAAAAU